AUUGAACGCUGGCGGCAUGCCUUACACAUGCAAGUCGAACGGUAACAGGUCUUCGGAUGCUGACGAGUGGCGAACGGGUGAGUAAUACAUCGGAACGUGCCCGAUCGUGGGGGAUAACGAGGCGAAAGCUUUGCUAAUACCGCAUACGAUCUACGGAUGAAAGCGGGGGAUCUUCGGACCUCGCGCGGACGGAGCGGCCGAUGGCAGAUUAGGUAGUUGGUGGGAUAAAAGCUUACCAAGCCGACGAUCUGUAGCUAGUCUGAGAGGAUGAUCAGCCACACUGGGACUGAGACACGGCCCAGACUCCUACGGGAGGCAGCAGUGGGGAAUUUUGGACAAUGGGCGAAAGCCUGAUCCAGCCAUGCCGCGUGCAGGAUGAAGGCCUUCGGGUUGUAAACUGCUUUUGUACGGAACGAAAAGCCUCUUUCUAAUAAAGAGGGGUCAUGACGGUACCGUAAGAAUAAGCACCGGCUAACUACGUG
rnacentral:rRNA from 1 species